ACGUAAGAUAUUGUUUAAUAUAUAGGGUCGAUUUAGGAAACAGGAAAGCAAUCAAAAGGAAACGGUGCGCUUUGGCAAGGUUGGAUUCUGUCUUCUUAUUUCAAUCGCCGUUUGCUGUCUUCUCUGAUUCCACCGUCCACGUCGACUCCGCCACCGCCGUAUACCGUCGUGAUCUUACUCUUACUCCUCCCUCAGGGAAAUGGGUUUGUGGACCUUACUUGAGGGGUUCCUGCUUCUUGCAAAUGCACUAGCAAUACUAAAUGAGGACCGUUUUCUUGCUCCAAGAGGAUGGGGCUUAUCAGAUUUUUCAGCUGGCCGGACAAAAUCUUUCAAAGGCCAGCUUAUAGGUCUCAUUUAUGCAACUCAGUACCUAAGAUUUCCUCUUAUACUUCUCAAUACUAUCUGCAUUAUCGUGAAGUUAGUUUCUGGAUGAUGCUGGGCAAGGUUCAAAGGGAGUAUCUAUGAUCUACCCAAGCAUUUUGUCUCCAAUGUCCUUUUGCUUAUGCAGAUCGCAGAAUGUGGUUUUUAUUUUCUUAUUAAGAAGCUGCGGGGUAUAAUGGAUGUAUCAUGACAUGCAACAUGCUCUGUUUCUUAAUAAUGUCAGGUUCAGGAUUUAUCAUCAGAUUAUUUCAAGUUGUUCUUAGGUUGGAAAAUUUGAUAAAAGUUAGAUACCAAACAAAUGACAAAAUUCGAUUGUAGAAAUAUACAUUAAAAGUAUCUUUUUUGGGAUAUUAAUCCAUUGAUGUUAUUUAUUAUCGUAAAAUCAUGUUUGCCUUCAUGACAUAACUAGUCAGUAAAUGAGAUCAUUGUGGUUGUGAUAUUAGUUGGACGGGUUUUGUAUUCAUUUUUGAAGAAUUAAUGAUAGCUGUUAAUUUUCCUUGUGUAAA